GAAGAUAGUCUGGUUGUAAUGGGUCUAUUCCAGGUCUGGUGUACUGGGUCUAUUCUAGAAGAUAGUCUGGUUGUAAUGGGUCUAUUCCAGGUCUGGUGUAAUGGCUCUAUUCCAGGUCUGGUUGUAAUGGCUCUAUUCCAGGUCUGGUGUAAUGGGUCUAUUCCAGGUCUGGUGUAAUGGGUCGAUUCCAGGUCUGGUUGUAAUGGGUCUAUUCCAGGUCUGGUUGUAAUGGGUCUAUUCUAGAAGAUAGUCUGGUUGUAAUGGGUCUAUUCCAGGUCUGGUGUAAUGGGUCUAUUCCAGGUCUGGUGUAAUGGGUAUUUUCCAGGUUGCCCGGGCAACUCCCGUUCUCGGAGGCCUGAUUGGUGUCACCCUUGUUCCCCAUCUAACACACUCCAAUAAUCAGCCAAUCGUGACCAUGAUCUUAGUUUAAAUCAGGUGUGUUUACCAAUCAGGCCCUAGGGA
ensembl:lncRNA